UCACUUUAGAAAGUGAUAGUCUUCUCAGAUGCUCACCAUGGCCUGGACUCUACUUUUCUUGGCAAUUCUUGGUGAUUUUUCAGGCGUGACAUCACAGCCCACCUUGACUCAGCCUGCCUCCCAGUCUGGAUCGCCAGGAGAAACCAUUAAACUCUCCUGUGCCAUCAGCAGCAGUCCAAACACCAUUGGCUGGGUUCAGCAGAGAUCUGGAGAGGCCCCUCGCUUUGUCCACUGUGAUGGCUGCAGCAGCAGGGGCCCAGGGAUCCCAGACCGAUUCACAGGGACCCAGUCGGGCAACAACGGCUACUUAACCAUCACCAGCCUUCAGGCUGAAGAUGAGGCUGACUAUUAUUGUUUCAUGUGGUACAGCAGUGGCAGCGUGUUCCACAGUGAGACAGACUGAUGGGGAACUGCGACAAAACCCUUCUGCCCCAGAGCAGAAACUCCAGAAUCAUUCUAGAUCUCUGGCUGAUCUGUAUUUGAUGCAACUCAAAUGAAAAUGGAGGAGGAAAUGGAAGGUCUUUUCCAUGCAGAGAAAAAGCCACAUAUCCAUCCCCUAGGGAAACCAUUACCAUUA